rnacentral:rRNA from 1 species
UACGGAGGGGGCGAGCGUUAUUCGGAAUUAUUGGGCGUAAAGGGCUCGUAGGCGGUUCGUCGCGUCGGGAGUGAAAACUCGGAGCUCAACUCCGAGCCUGCUUCCGAUACGGGCAGACUAGAGGUAUGCAGGGGAGAACGGAAUUCCUGGUGUAGCGGUGAAAUGCGCAGAUAUCAGGAGGAACACCGGUGGCGAAGGCGGGUCUCUGGGC